rnacentral:rRNA from 1 species
UACGUAGGGUGCGAGCGUUAAUCGGAAUUACUGGGCGUAAAGCGUGCGCAGGCGGUGAUGUAAGACAGGGGUGAAAUCCCCGGGCUUAACCUGGGAACUGCAUUUGUGACUGCAUCGCUGGAGUGCGGCAGAGGGGGAUGGAAUUCCGCGUGUAGCAGUGAAAUGCGUAGAUAUGCGGAGGAACACCGAUGGCGAAGGCAAUCCCCUGGGGUAACACUGACGCUCAUGCACGAAAGCGUGGGGAGCAAACAGG